rnacentral:rRNA from 1 species
CCUUCGGGAACGUCUGACACAGGUGCUGCAUGGCUGUCGUCAGCUCGUGUCGUGAGAUGUUGGGUUAAGUCCGUAACGAGCGCAACCCUUGUCCUUAGUUACCAGCACGUUAUGGUGGGCACUCUAAGGAGACUGCCGGUGACAAACCGGAAGGAAGGUGGGGAGUGACGUCAAGUCAUCAUGGCCCUUACCGGCCUGGGCUACACACGUGCUACAAUGGUCGGUACAAAGGGUUGCCAAGCCGCGAGGUGGAGCUAAUCCCAUAAAACCGAAUCGUAGUCCGGAUCGCAGUCUGCAACUCGACUGCGUGAAGUCGGAAUCGCUAGUAAUCGUGAAUCAGAAUGUCACGGUGAAUACGUUCCCGGGCCUU